AGUGUAACAAUGUCCUUUGUCUCUGACCCAGGCAUCUCUUGUCUUCUUCCAGAAACCAUGACACUAUGGCAGGCCAACUUACUAGCUUUCAAGUAAGGUAACAUCUCAGACCAUCAUAGGUUUUGACAGGGGAAACUCUGAAGGACCACAGGAGUUGGAGGUUCCACGUAUCUCUAAGUAGUAACAUACGAUGGGUCCAAAACAGAAGAAAGAGAACUCAAGAUUCCCGAGCCACAGAGCUGUUGAUUGGAGGCUGACUCAGAGAAACCCUGGAUUCAGUGACAUACAGAGACAACAGGUACAGGAUCAGUAUGGGUUUUAAUUGAGGGGCUCGGCACCAAAUGACAGACUUGACACAUCCACCCCCACCAUGGAUGCUGUCCGUCCACUGUUGCACAAUGUCCUUCAGUGUCUAAUUUACAGAUCCAGCUGUAUUUCCCCUUCCACCUGCAUCCCUGAAGUUCCUCCCACCUGAAAACUUCACCUGACCCAAGAAAGCAAAGGAAAAAACCCGGAGAGCCAGCUCAUAGUCUGGUUCACUGUUUAACAGCCAGAAGCCAGAGCCUGCGUACUAGAAGUGGAUGCCCAGGAAGUACUUGUGAGCUGACUAAGAAUGUAAGAACGCCACCCACUUCAUUCAGGAAAGUGAGGCAGGAUUCCAUGGAGUAUGAAUGACUGCACAUGGAACAAGCAGGUUAUCAUUUAUAUUCAGCAAGGGACCUCCAUGAACAGGACAUUUGGGGAGCUGCUAUCAAACAUCAGAACUUCUGACACUGUGCACACAGUCUUAUAUUGUGCCUUGUCUGUUGUGAUGUCUCACUACAGUAAUGAUUAAGAUGAUGAGCACUUA
rnacentral:lncRNA from 10 species